rnacentral:pre_miRNA from 4 species
AUUCAGGCCGGUCCUGCAGAGAGGAAGCCCUUCUGCUUACAGGUAUUGGAAGGGCUUCCUCUCUGCAGGACCGGCCUGAAU